GAUGAACGCUGGCGGCGUGCCUAAUACAUGCAAGUCGAGCGAACGGACGAGAAGCUUGCUUCUCUGAUGUUAGCGGCGGACGGGUGAGUAACACGUGGAUAACCUACCUAUAAGACUGGGAUAACUUCGGGAAACCGGAGCUAAUACCGGAUAAUAUUUUGAACCGCAUGGUUCAAAAGUGAAAGACGGUCUUGCUGUCACUUAUAGAUGGAUCCGCGCUGCAUUAGCUAGUUGGUAAGGUAACGGCUUACCAAGGCAACGAUGCAUAGCCGGCCUGAGAGGGUGAUCGGCCACACUGGAACUGAGACACGGUCCAGACUCCUACGGGAGGCAGCAGUAGGGAAUCUUCCGCAAUGGGCGAAAGCCUGACGGAGCAACGCCGCGUGAGUGAUGAAGGUCUUCGGAUCGUAAAACUCUGUUAUUAGGGAAGAACAUAUGUGUAAGUAACUGUGCACAUCUUGACGGUACCUAAGCAGAAAGCCACGGCUAACUACGU
rnacentral:rRNA from 1 species